UACGUAGGGUGCGAGCGUUAAUCGGAAUUACUGGGCGUAAAGCGUGCGCAGGCGGUGAUGUAAGACCGAUGUGAGAUCCCCGGGCUUAACCUGGGAACUGCAUUGGUGACUGCAUCGCUCGAGUAUGGCAGAGGGGGGUAGAAUUCCACGUGUAGCAGUGAAAUGCGUAGAGAUGUGGAGGAAUACCGAUGGCGAAGGCAGCCCCCUGGGUCAAUACUGACGCUCAUGCACGAAAGCGUGGGGAGCAAACAGG
rnacentral:rRNA from 1 species